GCCGUGUUGGCUCAAUUGGUACAGCACUGGUCUUGAAAACCAGCAUUCUGAAAGGAUAUGGGAGUUCGAUUCUCUCACACGACG
rnacentral:tRNA from 2 species